rnacentral:pre_miRNA from 1 species
AGUGGAAUUUCUGGCUCAUAUGGCAAGAAAGUACAUUUUAUUUAUUUAUUUUUUAAUGAAUGGUCAAACUAUUAUCUAAAGUGUCUGUACCAUUUUACAUUCUCAUCAGCAGU